rfam:Symbiodinium microadriaticum strain CCMP2467 Smic.scaffold685, whole genome shotgun sequence.
AUGUGCCGAAAGAAGUUCAAGUCAGGGGAAGCUCUGAUGGAGGCUUGUAGCGGUACUGACAUGCAAAUCCCUCGUCAUACGUGGGUUUAGGGGCGAAAGACUA